rnacentral:rRNA from 1 species
UACGUAGGGUGCCAGCGUUAAUCGGAAUUACUGGGCGUAAAGCGUGCGCAGGCGGUUUUGUAAGUCUGACGUGAAAGCCCCGGGCUCAACCUGGGAAUGGCGAUGAAGACUGCAAGGCUUGAAUCUGGCAGAGGGGGGUAGAAUUCCACGUGUAGCAGUGAAAUGCGUAGAGAUGUGGAGGAACACCGAUGGCGAAGGCAGCCCCCUGGGUCAAGAUUGACGCUCAUGCACGAAAGCGUGGGGAGCGAACAGG